AUGCACCUCGGCCUUCUCUGUUGUGUGGCCCUUUAUUUCUGGGGAGCAGUUUCCACGGACACUGAGGUCACCCAAAGUCCUCGACAUGUGGUCAAACAGAAAGCAAAGAUCGACUGCAUCCCUGUAAAAGGACAUAGUUAUGUGUACUGGUAUCGCAAGAAACUGGAAGAAGAGCUCAAGUUUUUACUUUACUUUCAGAAUGAAGACAUCAUGGAGAAAACGGAAUUUAUCAAUGAGCGAGUUUCUGCUCAGUGCCCCGCAAACUCCUCCUGUAGUGUGGAGAUCCAGUCCACUGAGCUAGCAGACUCAGGGCUGUACUUCUGUGCCAGCAGCCAGUACACAGUGAUGAAUGCUGGCUUUCAGCAGAACUCAAACUCAUCAUGGACCCCGCUCAGGAAAUAA